rnacentral:rRNA from 1 species
UUGAAAGGGAAACGAUUGAAGUCAGUCAUGCUGGUGGGAAUCAACUUAGGGGAAACUCUGGGUGCACUUCUUCGCUUGGCAGGUCAACGUCGAUUUUGAAUGUCAUAAAAUAAUUGGGGGAAGGUAGCUCCUUCGGGAGUGUUAUAGCCCUUGAUAGAUGUGAUGUUUGGGGUCGAGGAUUGCAACGGAUACCCUUCGGGGCUAGCCGCCUGAUCUCUAAUUGGUGUUGGGUUACGGAUAGCAUGCUGACCGUAAUCUAAUUACUGGUUAAAAGGUUAGAGUGUGCAUAAAUUCGUUAAGGAUGUUGACGUA